rnacentral:snRNA from 1 species
AAAUUUCAAAAACCAAGGUGUUUUUCCCAGGGUGAGGCUGUCCCUUGCACUCCAGGCAGGCUGACCCCUGCAAGUUUCUCCAAAUGCAGGAAACUCGAUUGUACAAUUUUGUGGCAAUGGGGGACUGCUUCCCUGCUUUCCCCCU